UGAGCAAUCUGCCCUUCUCUUCGGAAUAAGCGUUGGAAACGACGUCUAAUGCCGAAUACGACCUCCUUUCGCAUGAUCGGAGGUGGAAAGCUCCGGCGGAGAAGGAUGAGCUCGCGGCCUAUCAGCUAGUUGGUGUGGGUAAUGGCCCACAAGGCGACGACGGGUAGCCGGCCUGAGAGGGCGACCGGCCACACUGGGACUGAGACACGGCCCAGACUCCUAGGGAGGNAGCG
rnacentral:rRNA from 1 species